rnacentral:rRNA from 1 species
AUGCCCAUUCUAAUGACAGAUGAACAACAAAUAAAACAAAAACAGAGCAAUGAUACAGCAAUAGAACCCCCUGCCAUGAUAUUUGCUUGCUUUUGCAAAUCGAUCAUCUGCAUUAGAUGUUUCUUGAUCUUCUUCAGUUCCUCGGUCAGUUUGGACCCCGCAUGCAGUUCAUCAUUGCGCGCAUACAUCGCCAUCGGCACGACUCUGCCCGCCCCUCCGCCAAAGCUCCCCAUAUUCUCCAUAGCAAUCGGCGGCACCCCGCCCAAAUUGAGCUCCCAGGUUGCGGCCACGCUCAAAUCCUAUCAAACUAAAUCCUAUCAACAUAUUCAUCAAUCCACUUGA